GAUGAAGAACGUAGCGAAAUGCGAUACGUAAUGUGAAUUGCAGAAUUCAGUGAAUCAUCGAAUCUUUGAACGCAUAUUGCGCUCUUUGGUAUUCCGAAGAGCAUGCUUGUUUGAGUAUCAGUAAACACCUCAAAGCUUUUGGAUUUUUUAAUCGAAAAGCUUUGGACUUGAGCAAUCCCAACACCAAUCUUUUUGAGAUCGGUGGCGGGUAGCUUGAAAUGCAGGUGCAGCUGGACAUUCUCCUGAGCUAAAAGCAUAUUCAUUUAGUCCCGUCAAACGGAUUAUUACUUUUGCUGCAGCUAACAUAAAGGGAGUUUGACCGUAUUGGCUGACUGAUGCAGGAUUUCACAAGGGUCGGCAACGAUUCUUGUUAAACUCGAUCUCAAAUCAAGUAAGACUACCCGCUGAACUUAAGCAUAUCAAUAAGCGGAGGA
rnacentral:misc_RNA from 1 species